CGAGAAGUCAGAGCCUGCGACACAGCGACCAGACAGAGCAGGAUAUCUGCUGUUGUCUAAUAAUAAUAAUCGCAAAUCGGCCCUUCGAAAGCUUGAAGUGGAACAUUUAACGUCCUUUAGACUUCAAUUUGGAAAUCCAUCCAGAAAGCAUCAGUCUUACCAGCCUAAAUUUCAACAACAACCCAAUGUAUGACCAUGGAAAUACCAAUGAGGAGAGGAGGACCUAAUAAUGAUCCUGGCAUUGGCCAAAAUGAUAAUGUCGGUGAAGGCAGUGG